GAGAAGUGGCACACACAAGCGUUUGUCCAGAUGAUCUGCGCUAACAGGGUUUUGUUUGGACAGGAGCUUCUCUCCGCAGGGAACAAGAACCGUUCUUCACCGGACUCAAACCCUGUCAAUGUGGCCAACUCCUUUUUGUGUCUCAAGUCUGCCAACGUAUGCUGCGAGCCACUGGACAAGCUGGUUACAGCAGGAAAGCCAUCCAUAUGGAGCUCCUGACAAUAGCAACCAAUGACCAGCAUUCACUUUCAUAAGAUAAAGAGAUCCUCUGAUAUUCUGCUAAACAUCUCCUAUUGUGUCCUGCAGAGGAAAUAAGACCAAAUGGCAUCAUUAUGCCUGAGAGGGAAGGGGGCUGAACGACCACAACAAUUCCCCUGAAGAGGCGCUGGUCAGACCCCUGCAGAUCUGGCUGACAGAGCGAGACCUCCGGCUGUCAUGAGCCAUUAACCUGCCAGAGACUCCAGGGAACACACACUCUGAUGGAGGAGCGAGCAAAAAACAGGCUGUUGUGAAUCUGACAGAGGCGUUCACCUCCAGGAGCUCAGAUCUGCACCCCCGCAGUGGAGGAAGCGGCCCCGAGCAAAGGCCUCAUGCUGGAGGCUCAGGGGCCCCGCGGCUCCCCAACAAUCACACUUCUUGGAAGAUUCCUGGAAGCUCCAGUGAUUUACCAUUCAUCUUUUUUCACGACAGCCAGCAUGAAUGUCACAUUCACUAUGAAAAAGAGAUCAGACCUGAGGCCGUUCCCAGUGUUCUUGGUGGGCUGAGGGUUAAAGAUGAAACUCUCUGGAAUCUCUGUCAGGACGUUUUACACCUUCCUAUACUGAAGAGCCUCAGGAUGCCAGCAUGACAUGCACUGACAUGUGUGUGCUCAUCUACAG